CGAGUCUUCGUAGGCCACCUGGAAGCGAGUGCCGGCUGGCAGGAGCCGCCGCCCGGUCGCAUUGCCCUCCACGCUGCGCAGCGCGUACUCGAUGGCCGGUCGCACCCGAGCCAGGGAGAACAGUGCUGAGUUCAUAAAACACUUUCUGCAUGAUGCUGUUUACUUUCAAUAAUUUGAAAGCUAUCUCUAACCCUUGUGAGUCAGAAGAACGGACUGAAUCAGAAAUGCAAUAACUUUGAUCACAUAACAGCACAAUGAUCAUAAGGCAUCACCCAGAUCACCCAGCCUUCUUAGUGAUUCUUUCUGACCUUGCUCCAAGAUCAAGUCCCAAAUUCAGAAAGAACACUUGGAAAUGGUAAUUUGUGCAGCAUGGCUAUGCCUUGGACAUUCCCUAGAUGACCGCUAGAUGGUGACCAAGGAUCUUCUCCCUGACGGCUUGUGUGAUCUUUGGAAUGGCUCCUUCAAUUGAGAAAGAAGGCAUUUCAUGUGCUAAAGCUUCUCUGGUGUAGUCUGGCAGAAUUGUCAGACCUUUCCUAUUUGUGAAGCCCAUAGAGAAGGCAAUUCAGUCUCCCUUAUAAUGGGAUGUGCUGCAUGCUAAGUCACUUCAGUUGUGUUCAACGCUGUGCGACCCCAUGGACUGUAGCCCUCCAGGCUCCUCUAUCCAUGGGAUUCUCUAGGAAAGAAUACUGGAGUAUUGCCAUGACCUCCUCCAGUCUUCCCAACCCAGGGAUCAAACCUGUGUUGGCAGGCAGGUUCUUUACUACUAGGGCCACCAUAUGUAACUGUUGAGAUUGACUGAUAUAAAUGAAGAUAUGGAUGUUCAUAUUGAUAUGUUUUGCCAAUUGUUGAUAGGCUUCCCACAGGCACAGGAGCUUAUCCAUACACCAAAACUGUUGAAACAAUUGCCAUCACAUCUCCCCAUGACACUUACUGCCACUCUCUCAGGAACCACUCACAGAAUGUUCCUUUAUUUAAAAAUAAGUUGUAGGAAUUCCCUGGUGGCCUGGUGGUCAGGAUUCUGGACUGUCACUGACUGCCAUGGCCCGGGUUCAAUCCCUGGUUGGGGAAUGGGGAUCCUGCAAGCCAUGUGGUACAGCCAAAAUAAAUAAAUAAAUAAAAUAAAAAUAAACUUGAUGCUAUUAUAAAAGCACAAAUGAAAUAUGCUAAAGCUUCCCAUUCACAGGUAUGAGAACCCAACCCGGAUAAGCCUCCAUAACCAGAGCAAUUCAUUCCUUCAGCCACUGGAAGGGUGAUAAAGAUCUGCUUAUCAACAACAUUUUUAUAAACUGCCAAGGCCUUUAGCUUUCAGAACAUUCCUCCCCUGUAAAAAGACCUGUACCAAUGGGGCAGAGGGGGCUUCCUUGGUGGCUCAGCAGUAAAGAAUCUGCCUGCAAUGCAGGUGAGCUGAAUUGAAUCCCUGGGUCAGGAAAUCUCCUGAAGAAAGAAAUGGCAACUCACUGCAGUAUUCUUGCCUGGGAAAUUUUAUGGACAGAGGAGCCUGGUGAGCUACAAUCCAUGGGGUCGCAAAGAGUUGGACAAGACUCAGCAACUAAACAACAAUCAUGGUGCAGACAAGAAGAAUGAAAACCUGUCUGUGACCAAAAGUUUAUAUCAUCCCCUGUAAUAACUUAUUCAGGCUUCCAGGUCAGCUACUUGUGGCUGGAAUCCUGAUGCCCAGCUUGGUUUUCCUGCCUUGGGGACUUACGCUGUCCACUCUUCAAGGUGGCCAACGUCUCCUAUCACCUUUCAAGUGAACAGAAACUUCCUCAUCACCUUAUCUAACUCUGACCAUGUCUGUUUAAGCCAUCUGGCAACCAGCUUUGGAGCUGAACAUGCUGGAAACCUCUUCUCUGUCAAGGGCAGUGUGUGGCAGACUGGCAGCCCCUGGUAAUUACCCCUGCACAGUAGAAGGCGGUCACCCACUGAUGGCAGUAGUCUCACAGUCCCCUGACAGCUGUGAAUCUCUCUGGUAUUGAGAUGGGACAAAGAGAAUAUGUAGCUGUGGACUAGAGAGGAGUUUGCCUGAUUAAAUUCAGGGGACCGCACUUUGAAAAACUCUUCCUUCUUGGAUUGAUGAUUUCUAGUUGAUGAUUUUAGGAAAUGUUUACUUUUUUAAAGCUUUUUAAAAUUAAUUACCAUGUAUUUAUUUGGCCAUGUUGGGUCUUCAUUGCUGGGCAGGCUUUUCUCUAGUUGU